rnacentral:rRNA from 1 species
GAUGAACGCUAGCGGCAGGCCUAACACAUGCAAGUCGAGGGGUAGAACACUUCGGUGUUUGAGACCGGCGCACGGGUGCGUAACGCGUAUGCAAUCUACCUUGUACAGGGGAAUAGCCCAGAGAAAUUUGGAUUAAUGCCCCAUAGUAUAUAACCUUCGCAUGUUGGUUAUAUUAAAGUUCCAACGGUACAAGAUGAGCAUGCGUCCCAUUAGUUAGUUGGUAAGGUAACGGCUUACCAAGACGAUGAUGGGUAGGGGUCCUGAGAGGGAGAUCCCCCACACUGGUACUGAGACACGGACCAGACUCCUACGGGAGGCAGCAGUGAGGAAUAUUGGUCAAUGGGCGCAAGCUUGAACCAGCCAUGCCGCGUGCAGGAAGACGGUCCUAUGGAUUGUAAACUGCUUUUAUACAGGAAGAAACCCUCCCACGUGUGGGAGAUUGACGGUACUGUAGGAAUAAGGAUCGGCUAACUCCGUGCCAGCAGCCGCCGUAAGAC